AGUGAACGCUGGCGGUAGGCCUAACACAUGCAAGUCGAACGGCAGCACAGUAAGAGCUUGCUCUUACGGGUGGCGAGUGGCGGACGGGUGAGGAAUACAUCGGAAUCUACUUUUUCGUGGGGGAUAACGUAGGGAAACUUACGCUAAUACCGCAUACGACCUACGGGUGAAAGCAGGGGAUCGUCGGACCUUGCGCGGUUGAAUGAGCCGAUGUCGGAUUAGCUAGUUGGCGGGGUAAAGACCCACCAAGGCGACGAUCCGUAGCUGGUCUGAGAGGAUGAUCAGCCACACUGGAACUGAGACACGGUCCAGACUCCUACGGGAGGCAGCAGUGGGGAAUAUUGGACAAUGGGCGCAAGCCUGAUCCAGCCAUACCGCGUGGGUGAAGAAGGCCCUCGGGUUGUAAAGCCCUUUUGUUGGGAAAGAAAAGCAGCAGGUUAAUACCCCGCUGUUCUGACGGUACCCAAAGAAUAAGCACCGGCUAACUUCGUG
rnacentral:rRNA from 1 species